rnacentral:lncRNA from 1 species
GUGGCUUCUUGAAUAUUACAAAUGAGAUAGACGUGUUUAUCGGGCAGAGAGACCAAGAGAUGAUUGAGACAGUUCAGAGACUGAUGAGAGGCAUCAGCAGAGAAAGGUACCUACAUAUUUGCUGCCAUGUCCCAUGAGCUGGGUGCUCAGGAGGAAGACCGUCUGACUUCCAACAGGAGGCAGAGAUGCCCAGAUGCUAAACGGUGUGAAGCCUGCUAAUCUGCAGAAGGAAGAGUCAACCUACAUUCACUCCCUGUAUUACUUUUGUUUCCAUUCAUGAGACUGUGAAGCAAAAGGAAAAGGAAGGGGGCAUUGAUCUCCUGCUGGCCUGCUUGUGUGCCCUGGCCUGGGUGUUACCUGCUAUUUUAUGGCCUUUUCGAUUUCAGCCAACCAUGAUGUCCUUCUCCUUUCCUUCUUGGAACGUGCAAGUCUCACAAUCAAACAAGCAUAACUGCAAGAUCUUAAAAAUUGAAAUUUAA